rnacentral:rRNA from 1 species
UACGUAGGGAGCAAGCGUUGUCCGGAAUUACUGGGCGUAAAGGGCGCGUAGGCGGCCUGCUAAGUCGAACGUGAAAUCCCCGAGCUCAACUCGGGAACUGCGUCCGAUACUGGCAGGCUUGAAUCCGGGAGAGGGAUGCGGAAUUCCAGGUGUAGCGGUGAAAUGCGUAGAUAUCUGGAGGAACACCGGUGGCGAAGGCAAUCCCCUGGGCCUGCACUGACGCUCAUGCACGAAAGCGUGGGGAGCAAACAGG